GUAGCGGCUACAUCACCAAGGAUGAAAUUCGCAAGGGCAUGUCUGAGAAUGGCCAAGAGCUGGGCGACGAAGAGCUGGAUGAGAUGAUGAAGGAAAUAGAUACUGACGGAGAUGGGAAGAUCAACUAUGAAGAGUUCAUUAAGAGCCUCGAGAACGACGAAGAGGAAGAGGAGGAAGACUGAGAAUAGCCCCACAUUCUCUGAACGAUUCGAAUAAGUUGCUUUCAAGCAUCCACGAGUAGUGUUAGGUGCUGUAGCUGUAUUAGUUAUGGUGGCUAGGUGUUUUCAAAUGUUAUGACAAUCUUACAGAAAAAAAAGAUACAUAUACCUACACCAUUGAACUAAGAUACAUAUAGCAAGACUAGCAUGUUAAAAACACUUCUUUGUGUUUCUUAGCCCAGCCCGGGAAUUAUGUUAAAAGUUAACAGUUGGGAUGCAUUCUGCGAUGCUGCGGGAUAUACACUUAUCAACAAAUAAAUAUGGUUGCUAUUAAAAUCUCGAUAUGGUCAACUUUGAUGAUUGAAUAAAACGGUUUAACUGAAGUUCUGAUU